CGAGAAUCACAAUCAAAAUAAUUUUUCUUCCAAUCCUCUAACAUCAUCUUAGGUCUAUGUUAAACAUUGUCCUCAGUUCUUCAUCUUCAAAUUUCAAGCCGAGCAAGUGGGUGCCUCUCAAUAAUACUCCGUUCAAAUUCCAAGUCAAACGAGUGGGUACCUGUCCAAGACACUCCGCCUCAAAUCAGUUAUAGGUGUCUGAUAGAUUAUCACAGUAAAGUCUUAAAUCCACAAUGAAUGUAGUCACACACUUCUUUACUUUACC
rnacentral:lncRNA from 1 species